UCCUGACUUUGAUUAUGGCUCAGGAUGAACGCUAAUUACGGGCUUAACACAUGCAAGUCGAGGGGCAGCAUGGUCUUAGCUUGCUAAGGCCGAUGGCGACCGGCGCACGGGUGAGUAACACGUAUCCAACCUGCCGUCUACUCUUGGACAGCCUUCUGAAAGGAAGAUUAAUACAAGAUGGCAUCAUGAGUCCGCAUGUUCACAUGAUUAAAGGUAUUCCGGUAGACGAUGGGGAUGCGUUCCAUUAGAUAGUAGGCGGGGUAACGGCCCACCUAGUCUUCGAUGGAUAGGGGUUCUGAGAGGAAGGUCCCCCACAUUGGAACUGAGACACGGUCCAAACUCCUACGGGAGGCAGCAGUGAGGAAUAUUGGUCAAUGGGCGAGAGCCUGAACCAGCCAAGUAGCGUGAAGGAUGACUGCCCUAUGGGUUGUAAACUUCUUUUAUAAAGGAAUAAAGUCGGGUAUGCAUACCCGUUUGCAUGUACUUUAUGAAUAAGGAUCGGCUAACUCCGUGCCAGCAGCCGCGGUAAUACGGAGGAUUCGAGCGUUAUCCGGAUUUAUUGGGUUUAAAGGGAGCGUAGAUGGAUGUUUAAGUCAGUUGUGAAAGUUUGCGGCUCAACCGUAAAAUUGCAGUUGAUACUGGAUAUCUUGAGUGCAGUUGAGGCAGGCGGAAUUCGUGGUGUAGCGGUGAAAUGCUUAGAUAUCACGAAGAACUCCGAUUGCGAAGGCAGCCUGCUAAGCUGCAACUGACAUUGAGGCUCGAAAGUGUGGGUAUCAAACAGGAUUAGAUACCCUGGUAGUCCACACGGUAAACGAUGAAUACUCGCUGUUUGCGAUAUACAACAAGCGGCCAAGCGAAAGCGUUAAGUAUUCCACCUGGGGAGUACGCCGGCAACGGUGCAACU
rnacentral:rRNA from 2 species